UACGAAGGGGGCUAGCGUUGUUCGGAUUUACUGGGCGUAAAGCGUACGUAGGCGGACCGUUAAGUCGGAGGUGAAAUCCUGGGGCUCAACCCCAGAACUGCCUUCGAUACUGGCGGUCUCGAGUCCGGGAGAGGUGAGUGGAACUGCCAGUGUAGAGGUGAAAUUCGUAGAUAUUGGCAAGAACACCAGUGGCGAAGGCGGCUCACUGGCCCGGUACUGACGCUGAGGUACGAAAGCGUGGGGAGCAAACAGG
rnacentral:rRNA from 1 species